rnacentral:rRNA from 1 species
ACGGGAGGCAGCAGUGAGGAAUAUUGGUCAAUGGGCGGAAGCCUGAACCAGCCAAGUCGCGUGAGGGAAGACGGUCCUAUGGAUUGUAAACCUCUUUAGCCGGGGAGCAAUAAGCGCCACGUGUGGUGUGAUGAGAGUACCCGGAGAAUAAGGAUCGGCUAACUCCGUGCCAGCAGCCGCGGUAAUACGGAGGAUCCGAGCGUUAUCCGGAUUUAUUGGGUUUAAAGGGUGCGCAGGCGGUCUUUUAAGUCAGUGGUCAAAUCGUGGUGCUCAACGCCAUCCCGCCAUUGAUACUGGGAGACUUGAUUGCGGUUGAGGUAGGCGGAAUUCGUCGUGUAGCGGUGAAAUGCAUAGAUAUGACGAAGAACACCGAUUGCGUAGGCAGCUUACCAAGCCGUAAAUGACGCUCAUGCACGAAAGUGCGGGGAUCGAACAGGAUUAGAUACCCUGGUA